AGGAUUCAGAAAGUUAGUGUACAAGUUCGAAAUAGACACCAUUGAAUCUCCAAAGUCCACCAUUCAUUGAAAUUCUUCGCCUCCCUCAGGAGAACUCAUGAGCAUUCUGGACUGUAAUUCGCUAGAAGGAGGGGUCUAACCUCCGACCUUGUGGUUAACAGCCACACGCUCUAACCAACUGAGCUAUUCCAGCUGGAUAUCUAGCUGGCAACUUGCCAUCAAAGUUGCAUCUUUAAAUUCAAAAUAUAAUGGAACACUUAUCCCGGUGUGAGAGAGAUGCAGAUUCGACCUGCUGAAAGCGAGGGGUCGUGAUGAAGCCAAAACCUUCAGUUUGUAGGUAGACCCAACGGCAAUGUCGAUCCUUCCGAGUCUUAGCUCUUGGGUAUCGCACGCUUCUGGGUCCCCCCGUGCUGCUGGAAUCUAUCAGGGUGCGCUGAAUCCAAUGCAUUACAAAACUUCGCAUCCGCACGCUUACUGCACCCGAUCCGUUAUUUUCUCGUGACAGCAUGCAUGCAUGGAGUGAGUGAGUGGAGUGAGUGUGUUCGAUGUGCUUCCGAGAUGCCUCUGGUUAUUCCUAGGGCCAGUAAUUGCUGGCUUCCUCACCUCACCUCACCCCACCUCCCAGCGCAGAAGCAAGCAAGUUCGCGAUGGGUCAUGCUCGGGACAACUUCACCCCCCCCCCCCACGUUUUCGCCACUGCUCACCUUGGUACUCCUCCUCCUCCUCGCCCGGACCAGCUUUUCAGGACUUCUCGCGCACGCCCAUCUCCUACUGCGACAACUGCACUGUUCUUUCCCGCGACGUCGUGAACCCCAACUGCCGUCAUACCUCUUCUGGGGUAUUAGUUUAGUCCUUGACGAUUAGAAAGCAUGCGGCAGUGGGAGUUCGGCAAAGUGCAAGAGAAGGCGCUUGCACGCGACACGGGCAGCGGGAACAGCGGGGAGCAGCAGGAGUGGUGAUGAUGAUGAUGGAUGAGGCCCGCGUUAUGGCCCGCCUAAAUAGGUUCUAUACAUUCAAGUAAGAUGAGGUUGGGCUUCAUCCAGUACGUGAAUAUGUGAUCAGAGGGGACUAUGCGGUAGAGGACCACAUGCUGGUGUAGUGUGUGGUGCAGUUGGAUACUCCACCCCGUUGAAUCUCAUCAUAUAAAAUGAGUUCAGCCUACCUAGCGGACCCCGCGGUUUGAAGGAGAGUGGCACUCAUCUGGGCCGCUCAUCCCAAAGCAGGUUUUCUUCGCAAAUUGAGAAGAGUCGUGAAGUUCUACAGAGGCUAAUGUCUCUAGAAGACACAACAGCACCAUGUGGAAGAAGUCUGGCUUUGACAGCAACUAAGGGAUGUCUUAGGGGAGCUACACUCCGAUCGAGUCAACUCAGAAGUUCAAGGGGGAUCGGGCGAGGCGGCGAAGAAACUAUUGGGUUAUAAAUAGCAGAAAGCAGAAGCAGAAGGCCGUAGAGUACGCAGCCACAUCAAAUGGAUGCGGGUGGAUGACUCCUCAUUGAAGGAUUUUUUUCAUGCAACCCGCGAACGUUCCGAGGCUGUCGUAAUCUCCUCGUUGAAAGACGCCAGUGGGGUGUUGUAUUCUAAACCGUAGGAACUCGAGCAAAUCUGCUCCAGAUUCUAUACGAAUUUGUACUCUGCUGCCCCACUAUCGAGGGAAUCUUAAGCUGCAGCCGAACAAGCUUUGGGUCAUGUGGAGAGUAGAUUGACCCCGCGAAUGCAAUCCUUCCUACGGGCUCCAUUCUCUUUGGCUGAGUUUGAACAAGCCCUGAAGUAGAUGGCUCUCGGAAAGGCUCCAGGACCAGAUGGGGUUAUAACUGAGUUUUUAAAACUCUACUGGGAUAUCAUCAAAGAGGAGUACUUAUUUAUGAUUACUGAAGUUGUUCAAGGAAAGAGGCUGCCCAAAGGGGUCACAAGUGGCAUCAUAUCUCUGUUAUUUUAAAAUGAUGCAAGGAUCCAAUUGACAAACUGGAGUCCUAUCACUCUUCUUAAUGUGGUUUACAAACUAUUUGCCAAAGUAUUGUAAAUGCGGAUGCAAUCAGUACUCAUGGAAGUGAUAUCUUUUCAUCAAUCAGCAUUCCUCCCAAUGCAAUUCAUCUUAGACAACAUCUUCUUCAUCCAUGAGACUAUGGAUUGGGCUAAACACUCCAAGCAAUCUCUCAUCUUUCUUAAACUAGAUUUUUUGAAAGCUUAUGAUAUGGUGGAUUGGUCCUUUUUGUUUCAAGUUAUGCUGAAAUUUGGAUUUCUAGUGGAAUAUAUAGACAUGACCAAAAUGCUAUUCUAUGAUGCAGAAGCAUGUGACAAAGUUAAUGGAUCUCAAGCCCCGUCCUUCAAAAUUGUUAGGAGAGUACGUCAAGGAUGCCCCCUUGCUCCAUACCUCUUCCUCAUUGUUGCAGAAGUACUCAACUGCAUGGUGCAAACAUGAGUGGAGUCUGGCUCAAUUCAAGAGAUAACUCUUCCAGUGGAGAAUAGGCAACAAGACAUUGCACAGUUUGUGGAUGACACCUCUUUUAAGGAGAAUCUUGUCCAAGCCUCGUUUUGUAUUUUAAAUAACUUUGUCUUAGCUUUGGACUAGUUCAUAAUUAAAUGAAGUCUUGUGGAUAUUGGCAAGCUGAGAUCCCUAGACCAACUUGGACAAACAACUUAGAAAUAUUGUAGGUAGAUAGUGGAGGCAUUAGUAAAUUGCUUAGCACCCCUUUUGGCCUCCACAUGUCUUCUAGAUCAAUAGAUAUGACUUUUUGAAAGCCAGAAUUGACAAGAAGUUUAAAUACUGGAGCACCACAAAGGUAAACACUAUGCGGCUUGCAGUGAUUGCUAAUA